AAAUAAUUAAGUUAAUUAGUUGGUUUCUAUGUGUGUUGAGAAAUAAUGCAUUAUCUUCGCUACAUUUCAUAUUAUCAAAAACUAUAUGGUUUAUUUUUAAUAGAUUUAUUUUAACUAUAUUAGACAAAUAAAGUAACUUAUCUUUAAAUUUGGGAAUUUUUACUGCAACGUUACCACGAAAAACUCUCUCGGCUUCUAUACAUAUUAUACAAACAUCUUUAUUUGGUUUUACAAGACCUCCAUUUUUUUUUUAUAUCAAUUAGAGGUAAUAAACUGUUUUAAUCAUUAAUUUUAAGUGUUUCUUUGCAAAAUUCACAAUUUAUUUUUGGAACUAAUUUUUUGACAAUAAACCCAGCAAUAUACUGACGGAUAUUUUCAAUAUAGCAGCCCAAUUUUAUAAUAAUAAUAACCCCUCAUUAGAAUCGCUGUGAAGUCAUAUGAUUAAUUUCAUCAUCAACUAUAUUGUUUCUAGAUAAGCGCAUCCUCUUGACACCAUUUGAGGUGUGGCCAAGGUUUGAGUUCCUGUUUAUGGUCAUUAUAAAACAAUAAAUUUUGACCAAUAAACAAAAAUUAUUCAAAAUUAACAACUAAAACUAUAACAAUCAUAACCAAGAGCAACCUUACAAUAACAAAUAUAUAUUAUUAAUAUGUUUAUUUUCUCCUGGACAGAUUGUGUCACAAUUGUAUUUUUUACUUCCAGAUUUCCUACUUUUCUGGUGGAUUUUCCUAAAAUGUUCUUUCAAAGAACCUUGUUCAGGCAAUUACAAACAUUAUAAAAAAAGAAUAAGCCAAAUCGGUCAAGCCGUUUCGGAGCCAAACCGUAACAUAGAUUUCUAUUUCACUUUUAUAGUAUAGAUUAAAGUAUUCCCUAAAUCUCAAACGCUAUUUCCACAUUAGUAUUUUGGUAAUAUACUAUAAACUCACAAAUAAAAGGACAAAUAUGGGUUGGUUUUAGCAUUCCAGUUACAUACAAUACAUUUGACAAUCAUCGUAUUCAAUAAAAUUUAGACAGUGUUAGGUCUAACAUGUGGUAUAAACUAUAAAGUAUAAAUUAGAAUUUGCUUUUAGUUUCUAAAUAAGCUAACCUUUACCUUAACUAGUGAAAAAAUAAAUAAAUAACACAUUUAUUUUGUCAUGAAGCAGGUAUAUCAUAGUUUUUUCUUUUUAAUUUUAUAAUUUUUAGAUAUCAUACAUUAUCUUAUCGUAUUGACGUAUUAUGACAUGAUCUACAAAUUGAGUGUGACGUUGGUGUUGGUGGCUAUGGUAUAUCUGAAUAUGCUAUGUUCUUAGCCCUCCUAUAUAUGAUGUCGGACGUCGGUUCCUUUGAUAUGAUCAGCGCGUGGACUUGCCGGUGUCUUUUGAGUGUGGUCGUUUGAAAGUGGUUGUUUUCGUAGAGAUGAAAUCAAAAAUUCAUUAUGUCUUUUUGGGAUUUUUCUGAUGCCGAUGCAAUGGAUAGUUACAUUGAAGUUGUUGGUGAGGACAUUGUGAAUUAUGAUAAUAGCCUCUUCAACCAUAGAAGAUCCAUUCAAGAUUCUAAAACGACCAAAUCAUGGACAGCAGCAGCUACAAAAUUGUUGAUUGCUCUCAGAGAAUCCUAUAAUGAGAAAAUUCAAAAUACAAAAAAAAAUGGAAAAAAUGGAAUUGUGGUUACUAAUUUCUAAUGAAAUUAAGGAAAUAAUAUCACAAUUUUAGUGCAAGUCAGUGUGAUUAUAAGUGGCGACGUUUACUAACAUGUUUUUGACAAGUUAAAAAUGCGUCCAAGGUAUUGGGAAGUGCUAGUGUACAAUGGCAAUACUACGAUUUUAUGGAAAAUUCCAUAUCGCCAAAAAAAGACAAACAGUUUAUCCACGCAGAAAUCUAUUGCACGAAUCAUCAGCUGCAAGACCACUGCCCGAACCUUCUGAAAUUUCAAUUCAUGGAUCAUCGGAAACUUCUCUAAGUCUAAUGGAAGAAUCUCAAACUUCUGGGCUGAUGCAAAAAUCUUUAUUAAAUAAAACUAACAAUGGUUAAAACAAUUUGAGGAAUUAAAAAAUUAACAGUUGAAAACCGCAAAAGAAAAUGCUAAGCAACUCAACUAUCGUCUUGACAAGCUGGAAAAAAUAGAAGAAGCUGCGCUAAAAACCCAAGAAGAACGUGUUAAAAAAUUAGAAGAUGCGAAUAAUAUUGAACUACAAAAACUCAAUGUUUUUAAAAAAAAUGUUUAACAUAGAUUAGUAUGUUUGCUUCUAUUUGUCUAAUCAUCAGUUUAUUUCAGUUUUUAUUAGUUGUAUUUCCUACAGUUCAUUUAUACCAUUCUUUUGUUUUUAUAUUAUUUUUAGUUAAACAUUACUAUGACAU